AUUUUAGACUUAUCCAUUUUAAAGUUCCAGAGAUAAUGAUAUUCAGUUCAUCAAAUUCCUUUCUAAUAACUGUCCUGAUUAUCUUUCUAUCUACGGAAGAAGUCAAGAGCAGCUGUUCAGUAUAUUGUGCAGAUACCCAGGACAGGUGCCUGAAGACAAAGCAUGUGGAGAGUGACUACAGCUUGCUGUGGGGCAACGAGCUUGCGAAACAAGCCAGGAAAAGGGCAAAGAAAGAAGUUGCUCAGUUUGUUGCUUCUCUGGCAAAGAGAUCAACGUCGAAAAACGGUUUGUUGGUAGAGAUGUUGCAGCAGAAGGUUGCUACUGUCAUAUAUAUGAUCACUGACACAGCAAUGAAAACGGAAGCUUGCAGUGAUUACUGGGAAACCCACAAAAAGGCAAUUGAAAUAUAUUUUAAAGGUAGAAAGGUCGGAUGUGGAGUAGCUUUUGGGAACUCAAAGAUUGUCGUUGUUUGCCUUUAUAAGGCUUAACAUAGACAAAGUCACAUGAAAUGACAAAACUUAUGCUUUCCUUAAAUUUGUAUCGAGUAACUAGUAUAUAGAAAGGAACGGUAUUUUAUAAAGGUUAUAGACUGUACAGUGUACUCAUUAAUGAUUUAGCAAUUUGCAUUUGAAUGAAUUAUAUAUAUGUGAAUUAUUUGA